rnacentral:rRNA from 1 species
CCUACGGGAGGCAGCAGUGGGGAAUAUUGCACAAUGGGGGAAACCCUGAUGCAGCAACGCCGCGUGAGUGAUGACGGUCUUCGGAUUGUAAAGCUCUGUCUUCACGGACGAUAAUGACGGUACCUGAGGAGGAAGCCACGGCUAACUACGUGCCAGCAGCCGCGGUAAU